rnacentral:misc_RNA from 1 species
GCGGAGUAUGGCCCCUCACGGGUCUAAUCCACCACAAAACACCUUUGUGAACCAGUCAGGGGGACUCGGCCGUGAAAGCCCAGGCGAUUAGCGGAAAGGGCCCUCCUUUGCAAAACCCGUUUAGAAGUCUUGAAAGUACUUUUGUAUAAUCUAGUA